rnacentral:lncRNA from 1 species
GGCCAGAGAUGGGUCCGAUUACUUUCAAUGUAAUUGAUUAAAUUACAAUUACUUUGUCAUUUGUACGAUUAAAUUAAAUUAAUGAUUACAUCAUUUCUGAAAGUGUCUGAUUAAAUUAAUGAUUACAUUUGCAAAGUAAUCAUGAUUACAUCUGAUUACAAUGAAUUUAAAAAAAACACACAUUUUGAAUGAUAUGAAUGAAUUAACAUUUGAUACAACUAAAGCACUUUUUAGAAAGAAUUUGUUUUAUAUAUUAGAAAAUGAUAACUUCAAACUUCAUCUAUUUAAUAAAACCACAAAAGUUCACAACAUACAUUGUACAUACAUGAACAUUGUGUCACUGGUUAUGACCCAUUACACUUUAUCAUCAUUGAUCUCUAAAUUAUUUUGACUUCAAUUGAAUAUGGCAUUAUAAAGAGUUUGCUGUUUGUCUUCUGACCUCUUUGAGACUUUGUAUGUAUUUCAAGGUGCAGUUUAUGGAAGUUAAAAUAUUGAUGAAAUAAAGUUGCCAGUUAAAAACUAUAUAAAAUUUUAAUAGAAUUGUUUAAUCAAAUUGUAAACAAA